CAGAGGGUGACACUGAAAACAUUGCUGAUACUGCAAGAGGGGAGAAAGGAUGAUAUAUGUCUAAGAAAUCCAUGAAAGAAGUCUGAAAUUGCAGCGUGAAUUCCAAAGACUUCACAGAAGGGAAGACAGGCAGCUGAAAAACUCUAAGAGAAAAGGAAAACAGAAAGGGUCCUAAGAGCUAAUUGACCAAAGCCAUGGAAAACAAAAUGAGGUCACUCAUAGCACAGACACUUUGUGCCUGGGCCCUGUUUGCACCUAACAUCGGUAAAACUGUCUUUUCUUAAAAGAUGCAAGUAUUGGGAAGUGGCAAAGAAGACCUUCGAAGGCUUAGGUAAGAAGUCCUCAUUUCAUAUAAGAACUCACAUCCUUUCCUGUGAAAU
rnacentral:lncRNA from 1 species